GUUUUGGUUUUUUUUUAAUCAAAA
rnacentral:sRNA from 1 species